rnacentral:pre_miRNA from 1 species
UUUCUAUUCCCUCCGUCCGAAAAUACUUGUCAUCAAAAUGGAUAAAAAGAGAUGUAUCUAAAACUAAUAUACGUCUAGAUACAUUUCCUUUUAUCCAUUUUGAUGACAAGUAUUUCCGGACAGAGGGAGUAUUUG